rnacentral:misc_RNA from 1 species
UCUCUCUCUCUGCCAAAGCCAAAGGAACACAGCCCCUGUUCAUUCUUAUACUUUUUCUCUCUCAGUCUCCCCUUUCCUCCUCUUUCUCCGUACAUUUUUAUUCGCCUACCUGCAGCUCUCUUUCUACACUGCUUAUUCUCUUUCUUUCUUUCUUCUUCUUCUUCUUCUUCUUCUUUUUUUUUUUUAAUUUGUUUUCUCUCUGCAAAAACAAGGCUACCUCUCAAGUUCCUGAUCCAUCAAGAUUCCCACAACAUAUGCAUUGGACUGCUGAUUCUGAUACUAUCUUGGGUGAUCAGUUUUGGGCAGAGGAUUGGUUUGAUCUAAUGUAGCUUUGAGACUUGUGUGUCAU